CCUUCGGGAUGCCGGCGAGCGGCGGACGGGUGAGUAAUGCCUAGGAAUCUGCCUGGUAGUGGGGGAUAACUCGGGGAAACUCGAGCUAAUACCGCAUACGUCCUACGGGAGAAAGCGGGGGAUCUUCGGACCUCGCGCUACCAGAUGAGCCUAGGUCGGAUUAGCUAGUUGGUGAGGUAAAGGCUCACCAAGGCGACGAUCCGUAGCUGGUCUGAGAGGAUGAUCAGCCACACUGGAACUGAGACACGGUCCAGACUCCUACGGGAGGCAGCAGUGGGGAAUAUUGGACAAUGGGCGAAAGCCUGAUCCAGCCAUGCCGCGUGUGUGAAGAAGGUCUUCGGAUUGUAAAGCACUUUAAGUUGGGAGGAAGGGCAGUAAGCUAAUACCUUGCUGUUUUGACGUUACCGACAGAAUAAGCACCGGCUAACUUCGUGCCAGCAGCCGCGGUAAUACGAAGGGUGCAAGCGUUAAUCGGAAUUACUGGGCGUAAAGCGCGCGUAGGUGGUUUGAUAAGUUGGAUGUGAAAGCCCCGGGCUCAACCUGGGAAUUGCAUCCAAAACUGUCUGGCUAGAGUAUGGCAGAGGGUGGUGGAAUUUCCUGUGUAGCGGUGAAAUGCGUAGAUAUAGGAAGGAACACCAGUGUCAAAGUCGUCCUCCU
rnacentral:rRNA from 1 species